rnacentral:sRNA from 1 species
AUGGAAGCCUUGCAUGGGUUCAUUCCACAUCCACAUGCCAUUUUCUCAUCUCAUUGGUACAAUAUGCAGGUUUGGAGCAUAAUUAUCUCCAGGCCGGCCCAAGGCCUAAGCCUAAGGCCCUAUAACAAAAAGGUCCACCCUCUAUUAUAAAAUAGCCCAAUUUUGUAUUUUGAUAAUAAUUGUUUUUUUUUUUUUUAAAUAAUUAAACAAAAGAGUUCUUCAAAAUAUUAUACCAAUAGAAACUUAAUUUAAUAAUCCUAAAUUGUCUGGAAAAAAAAGGUUAUAAAUAUGUCAAAUUAUAAAAAAUAAUUAGUUUUCCUUAACCUAUCGAGCUUUUCAUUUUAUGGUUACACGCCAAAUAAUCUCUAUCUCUCUUAACACCACAUCCAAAAAUUAAAAAUUAUAUUACAAUGUUACUUAAACAUGCAUAAAAGAAAUUUGUUUUUUAUUAAAUUUUAUGUUUUUUAGGAAGUUUAAUUUUAUGCUUAAACCAUAUUAUUUGAUUUCUAAAUGAAAUUAAUCUUGGUUUGGUUAGAACUAAUUCAUCAAGUUAUGUUCUUAAUUUAUCCAGUUAACCUUGAUUUGGUAAAUAAUGUAUUAAAUAAAUACUAUUUAAUUUAUAUUUUAAUAAAAUAUCUUAAUGUCUUGCUUUAAUUUAUCACCUUAGAUCUCAAACUAUAUAGAGCUAGCCUUGAUUCAGAUUGUUACCUUGGCAACCAGAUAUUCAUUCAUACUUUAUACCUUUACUUUUCUCACUACCCAAAUUCCAUUUGGCCCGUAACCGUAGCACUAGCACCUCUUUAACCAUAAGGAUGCUUCUCCAAGUAUUAAGAUAAUCUCAAGCUUAGACUAGACUCAAAAAUGCUUCUCCAAGUAUUAGAGGGACUCAAGAUCAGAAGGAUGCAUACAUACAUACAUACAUACAUUCAUGUGUGUGUGUGUGUGUGUAUUUACUAGGUGUGUUCUUUUAAUUUUAUAAUUGGACCCCCUCUUCCAAAACCUUAGGCCCCUUCCCCUCCAAGAUUAUAACCGCAACCCAAUUAUCCAACCCAAAAACUUAAAAUGACAAUAACAAAUAGCAUUAUAUCAUAUAAGCUAUUGGAUCAUCAAAGACAGAUAUUCUCCACUAUUGCUUAUAUAUUUGCACCCAAAUGGUGUCGUGGAAAAGGAUAUGAUUUUCUAUUGUGAUAGUUACAUAUAUCUACAACUCAUAAAGAAGUGAAAAAUAUGUUGCAAAUAAUGCAUCCAAUUCAUUUGAAAGUCUAAAAUGCUGCCAAAGGUGAUCAAAGAAAAGCUAGCAAAACAUUGGAAGUUAGUUUCUUUUUCCAUAUAUAAUUGUGUGAAUUAGAAUGAAUUUAGACCGCUGCAUAUCUACUUAGCUUUUGCAACUCUGUAUGUCUUGACAUAGGCUAUACCUAGAUUUUUUUUUUCUAUGUCUUGACAUAGGUUAUACCUGGAAUUUUAUUUUCCUUCCUUGUCUCCCUGCCAAUCUUUCUUACUUAUGACUAAACUGUAUGACUUGAUUUGACUUGGCCAGCACUAACCAUAUUUAAUUUUCCAAUUUAACCAUGAUCAGAGUCUCUUGCCAAAAUUAUUUUGCUAAGGAUUGGAAUUAUAUAUAAUGGUACCAAAGAGUAUUUUUACAUUUAUGAAGAAUUUAUUUACUGAAAAUAUAUUGUUAUAAACUCUACUAAAAUAGAAUUAGAAGGAAUGGACUACAAGUUCUCUAAGCGUGAGAGGUCUAAACAGGAAAAAGUUGAGCUUUAACAGAGCACAAAAAAGGUCAAGGAGUCCUUGGGACCCCUUGAGUUUGGCUCUUCGCCAUCCUACAAGGACAACCUUGCGGGUGAGAUACUGGGUGCCUUUGCCCAAGCUUUCAACCUAAGUAUAGACAAUGAAUGGUCGGCAUCUAAUCCUGUGGAUUUGGGAGAUGUGGCUGAGGGUAUGAUAGUAGUGACACUCAACCCAGACACGAGGAGGGCCAUUUGGGCCAGGUGGACACACGCCUUAAUAAUGAAAGUAUUUGGAUGGACGGUGGGGUUUCAUUAUCUCCACUCCAAGGUGAUGAGUCUAUGGAAAUUGGUGGGGAGGCUAGACUGCGUGGACCUAGGCAAGGAUUUCUUCCUCAUAAGGGUUGGUCUCGUAGAAGAUUAUGAAAAUGUGAUUAGAGGUGGGUCAUGGUUUAUUGGCAAGCAUUUCCCCACCAUCAGAGCAUAGGAACCCAACUUCAAGCCUUUUAACGCCACCUGCAGCUUAGUUGCAGUUUGGUUAAGAUUGUUGGAGCUCUCUAUUGAGUUUUAUGACCCUAGUGUUCUGAAAGAAAUUGGGAGUGCCAUUGGUCUAGUGUUACGAGUUGAUUCACACAUGGUGAUAAAGGCUAGAGGAAGGUAUACGAGAAUUUUUGUGCAAGUGGAUUUGAAUGAACCCUUUACUAGGAGCAUCCUUCUUGAAGGAAUGGUCCAGAAAGUUCAGUACGAGGGCAUAAACUCAUUGUGCUUCUCUUGUGGUUGCAUAGGUCACGGGAAAGAGGGGUGCCCUUAUACUAUUAAGGCAACCGCUCCAGACUCUAUGCUAAAGUGGGAACCCAUGCUUGAGGGAAAAGGGAAAUGAUACGAUGGAGGAAAAAAAAUUCCCAAAAGGCGGGAACAAGUAGCAUAGACCCAAAGGAUGAGUAUGGGCCUUGGUUGCUUGUCAGGCACAAGAAAGUAGGGCAAAAAGGUGGAGUUCCACGUACCUUUAGUAGAAAAGUGGAUUUGGGCCUAAAGCCUGGUACUAAGCCUCCUUCAAAAGGCCAAAUUAUUCGUGAGCCUCUCCCUAGUCCUAAAGUUAGCUCUAAAGUGGCUCGCAGGCUUGCGAAUGGUAAUAGGAGAAGGGGAAGAUUUGACAACCCCAAAACAACAUUGGAUAGUGGGGAAAAGGCAUUUCCUAUCACAUCUAAAAUCACUCUACCCCAGGCACGUUCCUUCAGUUUCCUCUACCCUCUCAGUUUUUGUUUGGCUCAAGAAGCUCAAACAAGACCUCUCCUGGUCCAAGCCAUCCUCCUUGCACAGAGAUCGGUGGACCAUCUGUGAAGAGUCGUCAACCUCGCCCAUCUAGUGUAACAAGAAAGGAAAAGGUAAGUGAUCAUGGAAGCAAAGCAAAGACAAGAAUGGGCAAUCCUUUGAAAAGGGAAGAUUAUGACUUUGUCUCCAAAAAUAAUGGCAUAGAUAAGAGCAAGUCCAACAAUGAUUUGGGGGUGGUUCGAUUUGGAAGAAAUGAAAGCGUGAAGCCACAUAUUCCCUCUAACUCCAAAAAGCAAAAAGAUGGGUUACCUACCCUUGUUGAAUCCAACGUGGUUGAAGUGGGCAUACCUUUAGGGGACAUUUCCUUUAGACAGGCCAAUGAUGGUGGAAGCAAAAGUUUUCAGAUAGAAAGCCCUACUACCACAUUCAUUGGAGCAAAGUUUAAGCGAAUUGGGUCUGGAGGAAGAAGACAUGGGAAGGAGAAUAUGGAUAUCCAGGUGGACACAUCAAUGCCAAGUUUCGGUCUGAUGUUAUGCUCGAGGAAGAAGCCUUUAUGGAUCUUAAAGCAUGCAGUGAGACUUACAAAGGGGGUGACAUGGCCCAAGAAGAUGUUGAGGGAAUUGGGAUGGAGGUUGCUAAGUAGUAUAGAGGCUCAGAAUCAACUUGAUACCAGUCCCCAACCCACAAAUUUUUGCCUAAUGAAUAUUGUCCUUUGGAAUUGCAGAAGGGCAUUAAACCCUUGUUUUCACACCGUUUUGAUGAACCUAAUCAAUGUCCACUCCCCCUUUAUAGUGAUCAUCACAGAGACAAAAGUGGGUGGGGACAAAGCAAAGGACAUCACUAAUAGGCUAUCUUUUGACGAAGCUUUGCAUGUUGAUACUAUUGGCUACUCUGGUAGCAUUUGGGUUUUGUGGAACUCAGAUGAAGUAAAGAUUACUCAGCUAGCCAAAACUAAGUAGGAAAUCCAUGUUGAGGUUAAUGGUACGUACCUCUAACUUUUCCUGGGUCCUUUUUUCAAUUUAUGCUAGCCCUAGAUUAGAGAAAAGAAAAUUGUUGUGGAAUAACCUAAUUGCUAUUGCCUCUUUACAUCAUCUUCCUGGGCUUAUGCUGAGGGAUUUCAAUGAGUUUUUUUUCUUGUAAUGAUAAACUUGGUGGUAACCCUCUAAACCCAAGACGUGUACAAAUGUUCAGAGAAUGCCUCAAUUCGUGUGAGAUGGUAGACUUAGGGUUUCAUGGACUUAGAUUUACCUGGGUAAAUAAGAGAGAGGUGGGACAUUUUAUCCAAGAAAGGCUUGAUAGGGGGUUCCCAACAUUGAAUGAAGGGAGUUAUAUCUUGAAGCAGCUAUUCACCACCUGGCCCGCACCCACUCAGAUCACUGCCCUGUUCUCCUUAAAUUGGACAGCCUCCUUUAUCAGAUCGUUUUAGACCUUUCCGCUUCCAACCUGUUUGGAUGUCUUAUCUUCUAUUCCCAAAGGUUGUUAGUGACUCAUGGGAGGAAGAUAGGGCCUUGAAGGUAAAUAUUGAAAGUUUUACAAGGGAUGUGAUAGUGUGGAAUAAAGAAGUGUUUGGCAACAUAUUCCAUAGGAAGAAUCGGGUAGAGGCAAGACUAAGAGGUAUUCAGUCUAGCAUCGCUGAAGGCCCAAGUGCGUAUCUAUUGAACCUUAAGGAAGUACUGAGAAAAGAGCACUGGGAGAUUCCAUAACAAGAGGAGUUUUGGUCAGUUAAGUCCAGGCUUAAUUGGCUUAUUCAAGGUGAUAGAAACACAAAGUUUUUUCACUCAUCAACUCUAAUUAGAAGAAAGAGGAAUAGAAUUGCUUGUUUAAAGGACAAUCAAGGCAAUUGGGUACAUGACGAGAGGGAGGUGAAAUCUUGAUUAGGAAAGGGUUUUGUGAUUUGUUCUCUACAAGUGCUGUAAGCGUGCAAAGGAACAUGUGGAAUAUCCCUUCCUAGCCGUGCUUUUGAGAUAAGAAGGAGGCAAAUGGGCUGACCAUGAAGUUGUCUUUGCAGGAAGUUAAAGAGGGCCUUUGGUGUCUCAAACCCCUCAAAACUCCGGGGCCAGAUGGCUUCUAUUCAGGAUUUUUCCAAUCAUAUAGGAGCACAAUGGGUAGCUCUGUUUUUGAAGAAGUGAGCAAAAUAUUUAGGGACUCUACCUAUAUAAAACCUUAAUCACUCUUAUUCUGAAAUGCCCAAGGGUUGACUGCUUAACUUCUUUUAGGCCAAUUAGUCUUUGUAACACAGUCUAUAAAGUUGUUACUAAGAUUAUAGUCAAAAAACUAAGACCAAUGCUUCCUAAGCUUAUCUCCCCCCCCCCCCCCCCCCCCCCCCCCCCCCCCCCCCCCCCCCCCCCCCCCCCCCCCCCCCCCCCCCCCCCCCCCCCCCCCCCCNUCCCCCCCCCCCCCCCCCUCCGAAUAGCCUUUGUGCCAAGAAGAAUGGGGUUGGACAACAUGAUUAUAACUCAAGAAAUUAUUCACUCCAUGAGUCUCAAGAAAGGGAAGGUGGGCUAUAUGGCAAUAAAAAUUGAUUUGGUAAAAUCAUAUGAUAGAUUGGAGUGGCAUUUCGUUCGGGAUGUCCUGAAUUUAUAUCGGCUCCCAACCUGCCUUAUGGACCUCAUUAUGAGCUGUAUAUCUAGAUCACAUAUAUCAGUGCUCUUUAAUGGAGGUAAACUGGAUCUCUUUCAGCCUUUAAGAGGUAUUAGGCAAGGAGACCCCUUAUCUCCCUACUUGUUCAUUAUAUGUAUGGAGAUUCUAGGGUUUCUCAUCUCUGGAAAGUGUGAGGAAAAGUUAUGGGAUCCUGUGAAAGCCUCAAGAAAUGGACCAACUUUCUCGUAUUUGUUCUUUACUAAUAACUUGGUCUUAUUUGCCAAGGCUGACAUGAAAAAUUGUAGGAACAUCAGAGAAACUUUAAACCCAUUUUGUGAUCUCUCGGGUCAGAAGGUCAACUUGAUAAAAUCCAAAGUGUAUUUCUCCUCCAAUGUUGAUCAAGAUCAUCGUAGAAAGUUAUGUGAAAUUCUAGGCAUGAACUCUACUCCCAACCUAGGAAAAUAUUUGGGGUUCCCUCUUAAAAUUCAGUUGCAUCCUCUCAAGAUUUCAACUUUGUUAUUGAGAUAGUCCAAAAUAAGCUCUAGGUUUGGAAAUCUAAGCUCCUAUCUAUGGCUGGUUGGGAUGUUCUAUCCCAAGCAGUCAUUUUUGCCACCCCAACCUAUGUCAUGCAAGGCUACAUACUUCCUCAAAGAGUCCUUAACAGCAUAGACAAAAUUAAUUGAAACUUUUUUGUGAGGGUUAAUUGACGAGGUUAAGAAGAUGCAUGUGGUGAGUUGGAAAAAGAUUACAAAGCCGAAAGCAAUUGGGGGGAGGGGGGGGGGUGGUCUAGGAGUUCACAAUGCUAAAGGAAGGAGCAUGUCUCUUGUUGCAAAGCUAUGUUGGCAGAUGGAAAAUUCCAAGAAUGCAAACUGGGUAGAAGUGUUGUAAAAAAAAAUACCAGGCCAGACUUGCAAGAAAAAAUAGGGUUCACUCUAGAGUUUGGACAACUGUGAUGAAGGGCAAAGAAGUUUACAAUAAGGGGUCAAAAUUGGACUAUUGGUAGCAAUAGCUCCUUAAGUUUUUGGCAUGACAAAUGGAUGGGUGCUGGCUCGAUAAGAAAGCUAGUGGAAGGUCCCCUAAACAGAGGGGAGGACUCUUUGACAAUCAUGGAUGUAACGGUUGAUGGUGGUUGGAAUUUGGCCAUUCUAUCCUUCAACUUCCCAAACUUUAUUCUAAGUGACAUCCUUUCUACCCCCUGCAUAGAUUCUCGGUAAGGGAGGAUCUAAAAAGUUGGAUAUCUUGCCUAAAUAGAGGUUUUCAUCCCAAGAAUGCUUAUUUUUUUAUUGUUGAAGAAGACCUAAAGGUGGCUGAUUUCAGUGGUAAAUGGCUAUGGAAACUCACCCCCCCCCCCCUACCCCCCCCCCCCCCCCCCCCCAAAAAUCCAUAUCUUCUUGUGGAAAUGCCUUCACCACAAUUUGUCCGAGUACCCUCGCCCAGAGAGGUAAUGAGGGUUUAGGUGGGUGUGGAUACUACCCAGAUAUUGAGGAUACUAUAAUCCAUAUCCUAAGGGACUACCCGAUUGCUAAGAGAUUUUGGAGGAUGUCCAGAUGCCCCCUCUCCCUCGAGCCUUCUUUCAGUGAGGAUAUGGACACUUGGUUGCAAUGCAAUGCCAAAUCCACCAACCUGGCAAUUGGCUAAGACUACUUGUGGAGCUCCUUCUUCCUUUAUGGAAUUUGGAACCUGUGGCUUUAAAGAAAUAAAAAGGCUUUCAAGCAACAAGAUGCUAAUCCAAAUCUCCAUAAGUUUGUAGAGAUGCAAGUUAGAGAGUUUAUUUAUUGUGUGGUUGAUCCAAGUAAAGAGAGAGCAAUGAUUGAGAAGGAGGUCCGAUGGCUGAAACCAGCAAAUAGGUGGCUCAAGCUAAAUACUAAUGGCUUGGUGGUGGGAGCUAGUGGGUUAGCUGGAUGUGGUGGAGUGAAUAUGGAUAGCAUGGGCUGUUGGGUUGGGGGUUUUGCAAAGUCCAUAAAUGUUACCUCCAGUAUCGCAGUUAAGCUUUGGGCCUUAAGAGAAGGCCUACUCUUUUGUUUAGAUGUGCAAGCCUAAGCGGUAGAAAUUGAACUUCAUGCAUCCACAGCAAUUUCCUUAAUUGCUAGCAAUAUCAGUACUAAUGGGGACCUUUUUGGUCUUGUUGAUGAUUGCAGGAAACUGUUGCUGCAGCUGCCUUAAGUUGUCUCAUGUGUUCAAAGAAGCAAAUUUCUGUGCUGAUGCUCUUGCACAUAUGGGAUUUGCUGCCUCUGCUAUUGACUCCCGUUUUGUCCCCCCCCCCCUGUGUUAUUCCCCUUUUGUACUCUAAUUCAAUGGGAAUGUAUCGUAAUAGGCUAUAUACUGCUAUUGCUAAUGUAUUUGGUUCCUAAUGUUUAAUAUAGUUCAUUGUUUACCCAAAAAAAAUAAACUCUACUAAAAUAAGAUUAGUCACUCUCCACUAUAGAUAUUAAAUAAAAUUUAGAUAAACCAUUUGUGAAUAUGUUCUUUUCAACCAUUUGUUAUCUUCUUUCUUUAUCUUCUUUAAGCCUUUGUAGAUUUUCUUCUACUAUUCCUCACAUAACUAAUGUAGAAUGAAUACUGUUACACAAUAUUUCUUUCUCCUACUAAAACAUUGCAAAUGAAAUUUAUAUUCCUAUGAGAAGUAGCUAAGAGAUGGAAUUUUUUUAUACAUCUAUUACCCUCCCUUAACCAAAUACAUUUCACUUUUGUCCCCAUCAUUACUUCACCAACCUUUUCUAACUCAAAUUUUAUUGAUAGUUUGUUAAUACUAAAUAGAUGCCUAUUUAGAAAUCUUGGCUUCGUCCAUGUCCUCACAUCACCUAUGGUAAAAUGGCAUAAAUGCCAAAUUUUACCAACUAACCCUAAAAAUCAUCGACAUCAAUUUAUGCAUUUAUUGCACAAAAUGCAUUUUUACUAUUGCACUUGUGCAAAUAUACACAAGCACUGCAAUUAUACAUUUCAGGUUUUUAUUUUUAUUUUUUGUUUUUCAAGAAUGAGGGAAGAUAGUAGAUAAUAGUUGUACCUUGUAGUGUGUGGAGAGAGAGAGAGAGAGAGAGAGAGAGAGAGAGAUGAAUUAAUAUUUUUUUUAAAAAAGAAUUUUAAUAGAUAAUUUGAUAUGGCUGUUUUGAAAAGUGGUUAGGUAAAAAUAGAAAAUGUAGAAUUUUAUGCUAAAAUAGAGAGACAUUUUUGCACACGUCAUACCUGAUGAUUGAUGAAUACUCUAGUCAAAGAAAUUAAAACAAAAAGUGGCAAAAAAAUAGUCUUAUUAAAAAAAAGUUCCGAAACCCCAGUGACAAACUCUCUUUUCUUUUUUCUUUUUUGCUGAAUAUAGAUAAAUAAUGUAGCUUGAUGUUUUUUAUCGUCCCUUUUCAUUCAACUUUGAAUGAAGAACUCAGUGCAUAACAAGUUGGGGGAGUUAAUAUAGCAAGAAAUGCUCAGAAUCCAGAGAUGGACAUUAUCCUUAAUACGCUAACACUGCUUCUAUUAUGCACCGGAGUAUUCCAAGUUAGGGCACAAGUAGGGCGUCUUCCUAAUGAUGAUGGCAAUGAAUUACGUCUUCCUGAUGAUGAAGGUAAUAAACUAUCUUUUUUCUUCUUCUUCAGAAUAAUUUAUUAGUAAGUUGAGGUUGAUAAUGUCGUGAUGAAUUUGGAUAACAAUUAUACAUGCAUUAUUUUGUAUUGCUUCACAUGAUUCUUGACAUGAGUUGAUGAUUUGAGUAGUAGCACUUUAACAAAUAUAUUGAAGUUAUGAUGACAAUCUCAUCAAAGCCCGGUGGUACAUGUGGUAUUUAUUUAUUGUCGUGCCAUAGGAUUGAUGAGUCCCUAUAUGCAUUAUUGGUCCCAUCUCAAUUGGUAAAAAUUUUUAAACCGAGGCAUUAUCCCUUUAUUCUGUAAUGUGAGUCUCUGAUUAAGAAUGAGAAUUUAAAAAGUACAAGGGAUCAGACCAGUGUCGUAGUUAUUGUGGUUUUAGCUCUCUAACCCCCAAUCUACCAUGAUCAAUGGUAUUGAACCUCAGUGUCGGUUUGGUCAAACACAAUGUUAGGGACAUGAAAUUUUGACAUGGAAAUGAAAUACCAUCUUGUGAUUUACGUGGUGGGGAUGCACUUCUCAUUAUAUUCUAUCGAUUGGGUUAUACUUGCUUUGAAUUUUUAUCAACCAAUUGGCUUUGGCAAUGUCUUUGAGUAAUUUCUAAAUACAACUUACACAAUAACUUUUUUAAAUAAAAACCAAUAAAAAUAUAUAAUCAAAUCUACUACGCUAAAGAUGAAAGCAAUUAAAGUAUCCAAAAAGAUAACAAUAAAAAGAAAGGGUUCAAAUUGGGCCUACCGCCUAUGUCUGAUGUAUUGAGGUUGAGUUUUACCUUGCAAAGUUAAGAACAUUCACAUCAGUCUUCUCAAAUUUUUAAUUAAACUAACCUAAAAAUCACUACUAUUUCUACUUUAGCUAUCUAUGUUUUUUAUGCACAAACAUCAAUCUCAAUACUCUAUUUUUUUUUUUUCAUUUAAAUAAUAUAUUUUAUCUCUCCAAAAUCCCAUCAACAUGAGAAAUAUUAGUAUCACAAAAAAUAUCACAAUUUUUGCCUCACAACUCAUCACGUAACAAGUUGUAACAAAAAUUGUGAUUUUUUUUUUUUUUUUUGUGACACUAGCAUCUCUCCAUAAACAAACACCAUAUACGGAUAAAUGUUCUUGUUUUAAUAAUAAACUGUUACAUUACCCGCUAACUAAAUAAAAUGUAAAGAUUAAAAUCCACCACUACUUGUCAUAUUAUAUUUAAAAUAAAACGGCAUGUCCAAUUAAAAAAGUACUGAGAGUAAGCAAAAUCUAAAAGAUAAUUAUUGCAAUUAAGGGGGUUGAGGGCUUGAGCUAGAUAUUUAUAUAUUUAUGUGUGAAAGCCCAUUUCAUUAUUGUUUAACAGACUCCAGUAUGGAACAUUUAUAAAACAAAAAAUAAAGGUAAAAAUGCAAAACUGGCCUUCUAACUUUCAAUCCUUUUUUUUUUUUCUUCAGUUCUUUAACUUUCAAUUUGGUACUCCGUUAAACCCCAGUUAUAUCCUGCCAUUAAUUGAGACAAAAUGACGUCAUUUUGGCUCUUUUUUUUUUUUUUUUUUAAAUAAUAAUUUUGGAAUUAAAAGAAAAUUAAAAAAAAAACUGAUAUUAAAAAAAUUUCUAUUAUUAUAUUUCUCUCUCUCUCUCUCUCUCUCUCUCUCUCUCUCUCUCUCUCUCCUUGACAACAUGAUCGACAGCGCUCAGAUCGAAUUCUGACCAGAGAAACAAAACCCUAAAAUCUCUCCAUCUCUCUCCAAUUUCAAUUCCUCCCAAACCCAAAAAAAAAAUUUUCAAAAAAAGAAAAAAACCACCCAAGCUUUUUUGCUUUUUCUGAAAGAAUUCGAUACCAAAAGCAAAACACAAACUACGACAUUUUGGCUCAAUUAACGGCAUGACAUAACUGAGGUUUAACGAAGUAUCAAACUGACAACAAUUGAAAGUUAGAGGAGUGAAAUAACAAAAAUGAAAGUUAGAAGACUGAAAUAAAAAAAAAUAAAAGUUAGAAGAUCAGUUUUGUAUUUUUGCCAAAAAUAAAUUAAUAAAGGGAAAAAAAAUUUGAUGAGUCUGAGUCUGAUGUACUACUAACUAUUUUGCAGUGCAAGCCCUUCGUGAAAUUGCUAUGCAAGUAAGGAAGAAAGAUUGGAAUUUCGGAGUAGACCCAUGUAGUCAAGACCCAAGCUGGUUAACACCACAACCCAAGUUGGUUAACACCACAAGACCCAAGUGUUUUAUUCCAUAUAAGAGAUGAGGCUAGUGUAAUAAUAGAAAACCUAAGGAGAGGUCAGUGCAAUUUUCUUAUUUACAUUAUUGUACUAUACAACUUACUUAUACUAUGCUGGUUCAUGUAUGUUAAGUCUCUUUAUGCAUACUCUAAAAAAUCUCAAUGGACUUUGUAUAUAUACUCUCAAUAGACUCAUAUAAUAUAGAUCUCAAAUAGUAAAAAAGUAGUCGCCUAGCGACUAAGUCAAAAUUUUGACUGCCAAAGAUAACUUUCAUUAUGGACGUAGGCUGUUAGGUCGAACUAUGUUAUGUUAUUUGUUUUAUUGCUCCCACCUUUUUAUCUCUCUCAUUAUUAAUCCAAACAAUAAUUCCUUGUAUCGUUCCAAUUUUAUCGGAUGUCACCAAAGGCUGCCAAGUCACAGCUCACACACCUCACCACUAUGCUGUCAUUAGUCAUUAGUUGAUGUCUUCCAACUCCAAUGAGCUAUCCUUAGCUGAUGCCUUCUAGUAAACGGUGUUGCCAAAAUUUUGUCCAAAGUUACACAAAGUUUUCAUUAAGUAACUGUGCAGAAGCUCAUUAUUUAAGUUUCACUAAGUUUUUACCAAAAUUUUGUCCAAAACUUGUUAAAGCAUUUUCAUAAAGAUUUCACCUAGCUUUUUUCUGGAAACAUUAUUGUAGGGACUCAAUUUGGAUUUUCUACCCAACAAGCCCCAAACAAUAAAUUUGUAGAAAAUAGAUUGAAGGUUUAGGCGCUGGCCGUCGUUCACCAAGCAUGAACUCUCUUUUUUUAUUAAAAAAUACUUAGAACUAUUUACAACUGGGGGAUGCUCCUCGGCCCAUGGCCGAGGAGCCCCUUUUUCUUCUUUCUUCCCCCCCUCCCCCCCCCACCCCCCCGUGUUCGUGGUCUACCAACGGAUUACUGUGCUGAGAGCCCCUAGACUCUGCCUGGUGCUGAUUAGCAUCCACCUGUUGCGGGCCCGUCAAUGGUUGCUGCGGUGCUCCCUCUUCCAUUGUGAGUAUCACACCUGCCUUUCCUUCUCAACAGAUCAAGUUCUUCUCACAGACGGCGCCAAUUGUAGGGACUCAAUUUGGAUUGGACCCAGAGUAUGAAUGAGUUUUCAGCCCAACAAGCCCAAACAAUAAAUUUUUAGAGCAUGGGUACAAGAACUAGUACCGUUUGACAGGAAAGGUUAUACUCAUCAAGUAACAAGAGAUAUUUUAGGUUGAUUCAAUGAGAAAAACUCUCUUCGGCUAUGUUUCAGUCCGUCUCUCUUUUCUUUUUUUAUGGAAUCUCCCCCUUCUUAUCUCAUUCGUUUCUAUGUUAUAUACUCCGUUCUCUCCUCCACUUCCAUUGUACACGUGUAGUUCUUAUCUUGGGAGCUCCUUUCUGUCUCAUCCAGUACCUACCGGAACUUUUGCUCAGUAGCCAUAAAACUGCUUAGUCACUGUUCAGGUAUCACCUCCACAUUAAUGCGGCCAGAGGGUUAGCUGGAGAGCAUUUAAUGUGGAGGUGAUGGCCUUGGAAGAUAUUUGCUACCUUCCCCGACUCCUCCUUAGGUUUAUACCUAAUUUCCAGUUUAGAUACAACUUGGCGGAGUCUCCUGAAUAAAAUGAAAGUUACAUUCACCUCGGACUUUGGUGUCCUCGGACGUGCGUUAUGCCGCAAUAUACAAUAUUCACUCCUUUCUCCUAUAUUAUCCAUUUAAUAAUAAUAAAAAAUUUUAAGCUAUCCUCGGAUAACUAAGCGUCCUCGGAUUGGGCCAUUGGGCCCCGACCCCACUUCUGAGGAUUCCUAUAUCUUUUUAACUAACAGGCCCCACAAUUAUUUUAGUAAAGUUUCUCAAAAAAUUUCACCAAAAUUUUGUAAUUAAACUACUAAGCAAGAGUUUAGAUAAGUUUCAAAAAUUUUUUUUGUAGAAUCUCAUUCACGAAGUUUCACAAAGUAGUCUACAAAACUUUGGGAUGAAACUAGUUGGCAAAGUUUUUCACAAAAUUCUCACCAACACAAUGUGGAGAAACGUGGGAGAGCCAUUUUUACUGAAUUUUCAUUAAAUGAGGAAAACUUUGUGAAACUUCAUUUGGAGAUUCUUCACGAGUUUCGGUGAAAAUUUUGUGUAAAUCUGCAAUCAAGUUUCAACUUGAAGUUUUAGUGGAAUCUUUGUGAAGUUUGGACAAGAAUUAUAGCCAAGGCUUUGGAGAAAAUGAUGUUAAAAUUCAUACUUGAGUUUCCAUAAAUGAUGUUUGCAAAAACUUUGUGAAACCUCAUGACAAGUUUCUAGAAAGUUGUUGGUUAAAAGUGAAAUCUUUGUGAAAUUCUAUGACGCAAGGAUAUGUAUUAAUUUUUUGACCAAACAGGUUUGUAAUAUGUAAAAAGGGCUAGGUUUGCUAAGAUAAAUUUGAUAAGUAGACCUAGGGAUUAUUGGCAUGAUAUUGAAAACCUUUGCAAUAGAAAAGGAUAAGCCUCCCAUAACUGAUUGGGAAGAAAUGAAAGAAAAACUUAGAGAAAUAUGUUCCCACAUCCUAUCAUCAAAAGAGAGUUUUGUCCAAACCCUAUCAUUGUAGCUUUUUAAAUAAAAAAAACAAUCUCAAUCAGUGGGACAGACCUACACCUGGCAAUGUAGCUCAAAAGAUGAGAUGAGUGCUCAAACAGUCUCUAGUUCUAAGUCUACCCCAACAACAUUUUAAGACAUAUUGAAGGCCAUCCCCGAAAUUUAACAAGAGCAUGCUAGGAUUAAUGCCCAACUACACUGAAUAAUGGCAUCCACUCAAAAAUUACCUAGCAAGCUUGAGGGUAAAGCUUCAGACAAGAGAUAUAGUAAUGUUUUGCACCAAAAAUUGGUUAUGAAAAGGAGAUGCAUGUGCCAAGAAGUGCUUAAUUAGUACACCCUCAACAAUGUGUAGUUGACUUGAUUCAACCUAUUGGUGAGUCAAUAGUUGAUGAGACAAAAGUUCAGCGAAACAAAAAAACCUUUAAGGGUGCACAUGAUGUGAUAGUAGAUUUUACUGAAUGUGUUACUGAUCAACCUUCCAUGGUGCAUGAGGAUAAACAAUUUGACAAAGUAGAGAAAGUGAAUACAAUGGUGCUUCCUAUGGUUCAAGAUAAGAUUGUGUUGAUUCCACACAUUGAUUUUGUGAUUCUAGAAGAGUCAUGGAAUGCAAGGUUUAGCCACUCUCCGUGCUCCCAAAGUAAUUCUUAAAUUAAGGCAAGUGCUGCAUUUUGGAGUUCUACUCCUUCCCCACUUCAAAACUCAAAGUCGAGUUUUCUUUAACCAAGGGAGUAUGAUGCAAGAAGCUCUAAAGUCAUAUAAUAUUUUGUCUUUGAAUUUGAAUUUUGGAUUGAGUUUUUAAUGUUGAGGGUAUUAAGGGAUUUAUUUAGUUAUUUUCCAUAUUGGUGUAAUCCCUAAACUCUAUUAAACUAGUGCCCUUGUAACAGUGAAAGGCAGAAGAUUUGGAAUAAGAAUUUUAUGAGUUGACAAGGAACUCCUCUUUUGUUUGGUGGUGAUGCCAAACACUAUUAUGUGGUGAUGCCUAGGGUUCAGGUAGUUUUUACGUGGCUUGCUAUGACUUGCUAUGUUUUACCAGCCUAUCCAUAAUUUGAAUUGUCACCAAUGUGAAAAAUGACUUGCUAUGUUUCACCGGCCUAUUCAUUCUAGAGUCAGUGACGACAUACAGGAACCAAAUGGCAUCAGCUUCCCUUCCAUAGAAGGAAUGGAGCAUUGGAUCACAGGCUCAAUCACAUCUUCUUGUGUGAGUUGUGUUUACACAUCUAGAAAGACUUGUUGGAUUAUAAUCUGCACCUUAAUAUUUUUAAUCUGACAUCUGCACAAGUUUCUUUGAGAAGAGUUUCUUCACUUUGCAAUUGGCAUUGUGCACCUUAUAUAUGUUAUUCCCUUCCAUACAUAGAUAGUAGCGAUUAGCUGCACAUGCUAUUUAAAUAGAGUCUCAAUAGAACCAUUUCCUUUUCAUUCAGAAAUUGUCCAAUUUAAGUUCAUCUUCAAAACACAAUUUCGCAUGUUGUGUGUAUGGCUGUGUGUAGCAAGCUGUAUGCAACAAUAAUAAACCAUUCUGAUAUAUGCUAUUUAACUCUUGCUUUAGUGAAAAUUUCAAUUUUCUCAUCCUUUGCUCAAACAUAUGCAUGAAGAUGAUUUAUAUUCUAGUAGAUUAUGGUUGAAAAGAUUCUGAUGGGAUUCCAAAUACGUGGGCUAGUUCAUUAAAUCUAUUAUGUAUUUCAUACAGAUUUCUUAAAGGGCAAGAUCUUGAUGGCAUGCUUCCACCGUCUCUGGUGAAGCUACCCUCCCUAAAGAAAAUGUAAGAAAAGUAACUAAUUAUUUGUUUUACUUAUUAGCACCUGAAAAUUGAGAUUUGAGCUUUGGAUCUAAUAGCACACUUUACUCUUACUUGAAGUGAUCUCACUCGAAACUACCUUUCUGGUACCAUACCACCUGAAUGGGCUUCUACAAAGUUGGAAUAUCUGUAAGUUACUUCUCAUUUAGUGUCAAUGGUUAACCAGCAAACGCUCAUUCUUUUUGUUAAACUAAUUCACUGCAGGUCUGUUAAUGUAAACAAUUUAUCAGGACCAAUCCCAAGCUACUUGGGAAAAAUUUCCACUCUUACAUAUAUGUAUGCUCUUCUUGUAUCCUUCUUCUUCUUCUUCUUUUAUUUGAUUUGUAGACCUGUUUUAACAUUGAAGAGGAUUAUACUUUCAGGAACAUAGAGAACAAUCUAUUUUCUGGAAAUCUUCCCCCUCAACUUGGGGAUCUGGUUAACUUGGAAAAUCUGUCAGUGUUUCUUUCUUCCCUCUUAUUCGUUUGUAAAUCACAUUUGAGGAUUCAUUUCUAAAUUAUCAAUGAUUUAUUUUGUCAAUCAACAGUAAGUAAGUUGAACUGGUCUAAACUUUUCAUUUUGGUGACUGCAGCAUUCUUAGUGCAAACAAUCUCACUGGCGAGAUUCCAGUUGCUCUCACCAAUCUAACCAAAUUAAGAGAACUGUAA